AGUCAGAAAAUGGAAUCUAAUAGCAUUGACGAGCAAGCUACGAACUCCAAAAUGUCAGAUAUGGAUGUCUCUGGAAAGAGUUGUUCGGCAGUUGUUUGGGAUGUCUUUCAGCGGAAGGAUGUUCCCAAAUUGACUGAGUAUUUAAGACUAAAUUGGAAGGAAUUUAGGAAUUCUGUCAACAUAAACAAUGAUCUUAUUAUGCG
rnacentral:misc_RNA from 1 species